UACGGAGGGUGCAAACGUUGCUCGGAAUUAUUGGGCGUAAAGCGUACGUAGGCGGUCCAGCAAGUCGGGUGUGAAAGCCCUCGGCUUAACCGAGGAAGUGCAUUCGAAACUACUGGACUUGAAUACUGGAGAGGAUCGCGGAAUUCCCGGUGUAGAGGUGAAAUUCGUAGAUAUCGGGAGGAACACCAGUGGCGAAGGCAGCUCUCUGGGACGGUACUGACGCUGAGACGCGAAAGCGUGGGGAGCGAACAGG
rnacentral:rRNA from 1 species